rnacentral:rRNA from 1 species
AGAGUUGAUCCUGGCUCAGGAUGAACGCUGGCGGCGUGCCUAACACAUGCAAGUCGAACGGAGUAAUUAAGCGGAAGUCUCGGAUGGAAGCUCAGCUACUUAGUGGCGGACGGGUGAGUAACGCGUGGGCAACCUGCCCUGUACCGGGGGAUAACACUUAGAAAUAGGUGCUAAUACCGCAUAAGCGCACGGUCUCGCAUGAGACAGUGUGAAAAACUCCGGUGGUACAGGAUGGACCCGCGUCUGAUUAGCUAGUUGGUGGGGUAGAGGCCUACCAAGGCGACGAUCAGUAGCCGGCCUGAGAGGGUGACCGGCCACAUUGGGACUGAGACACGGCCCAAACUCCUACGGGAGGCAGCAGUGGGGAAUAUUGCACAAUGGGGGAAACCCUGAUGCAGCGACGCCGCGUGAGUGAAGAAGUAUUUCGGUAUGUAAAGCUCUAUCAGCAGGGAAGAAAAUGACGGUACCUGACUAAGAAGCCCCGGCUAACUACGUGCCAGCCGCCGC